CCUACGGGUGGCAGCAGUGAGGAAUAUUGGUCAAUGGGCGAGAGCCUGAACCAGCCAAGUCGCGUGAGGGAAGACGGUCCUACGGAUUGUAAACCUCUUUUGUCAGGGAGCAAGGAGCGCCACGAGUGGUGCGGCGAGAGUACCUGAAGAAAAAGCAUCGGCUAACUCCGUGCCCGCAGCCGCGGUAAUACGGAGGAAGCGAGCGUGAUCCGGCGUUAUUGGGUGUAAAGGGAGCGUAGACGGCAGUGCAAGUCCGGAGUGAAAGCCCGGGGCUCAACCCUGGGACUGCUCUGGAAACUGUAAAGCUGGAGUGCGGGAGGGGCAGGCGGAAUUCCUGGUGUAGUGGUGAAAUGCGUAGAUAUCAGGAGGAACACCGGCGGCGAAGGCGGCCUGCUGGACCGUAACUGACGUUGAGGCUCGAAAGCGUGGGGAGCAAACAGGAUUAGAUACCCCAGUAGUC
rnacentral:rRNA from 1 species